AAAUUGAAGAGUUUGAUCAUGGCUCAGAUUGAACGCUGGCGGCAGGCCUAACACAUGCAAGUCGAACGGUAACAGAAAGCAGCUUGCUGCUUUGCUGACGAGUGGCGGACGGGUGAGUAAUGUCUGGGAAACUGCCUGAUGGAGGGGGAUAACUACUGGAAACGGUAGCUAAUACCGCAUAACGUCGCAAGACCAAAGAGGGGGACCUUAGGGCCUCUUGCCAUCGGAUGUGCCCAGAUGGGAUUAGCUAGUAGGUGGGGUAACGGCUCACCUAGGCGACGAUCCCUAGCUGGUCUGAGAGGAUGACCAGCCACACUGGAACUGAGACACGGUCCAGACUCCUACGGGAGGCAGCAGUGGGGAAUAUUGCACAAUGGGCGCAAGCCUGAUGCAGCCAUGCCGCGUGUAUGAAGAAGGCCUUCGGGUUGUAAAGUACUUUCAGCGGGGAGGAAGGGAGUAAAGUUAAUACCUUUGCUCAUUGACGUUACCCGCAGAAGAAGCACCGGCUAACUCCGUGCCAGCAGCCGCGGUAAUACGGAGGGUGCAAGCGUUAAUCGGAAUUACUGGGCGUAAAGCGCACGCAGGCGGUUUGUUAAGUCAGAUGUGAAAUCCCCGGGCUCAACCUGGGAACUGCAUCUGAUACUGGCAAGCUUGAGUCUCGUAGAGGGGGGUAGAAUUCCAGGUGUAGCGGUGAAAUGCGUAGAGAUCUGGAGGAAUACCGGUGGCGAAGGCGGCCCCCUGGACGAAGACUGACGCUCAGGUGCGAAAGCGUGGGGAGCAAACAG
rnacentral:rRNA from 1 species